GAUGAACGCUAGCGGCAGGCCUAAUACAUGCAAGUCGGACGGGAUCCAUCGGUAGCUUGCUAUCCAUGGUGAGAGUGGCGCACGGGUGCGUAACGCGUGAGCAACCUGCCUCCAUCAGGGGGAUAGCCUCUCGAAAGAGAGAUUAACACCGCAUAACAUAUCAGACCGGCAUCGGUCGGAUAUCAAAUAUUUAUAGGAUGGAGAUGGGCUCGCGUGACAUUAGCUUGUUGGUGGGGUAACGGCCCACCAAGGCGACGAUGUCUAGGGGCUCUGAGAGGAGAAUCCCCCACACUGGUACUGGGACACGGACCAGACUCCUACGGGAGGCAGCAGUAAGGAAGAUUGGUCAAUGGGCGGAAGCCUGAACCAGCCAUGCCGCGUGCAGGAUGACUGCCCUAUGGGUUGUAAACUGCUUUUGUCCGGGAAUAAACCUCCUUACGUGUAGGGAGCUGAAUGUACCGGAAGAAUAAGGAUCGGCUAACUCCGUG
rnacentral:rRNA from 1 species